GGGGUCGACUGGUUUUGACAGCGAGAUUAAUUAAAUGGUAAGCACGUCGUGUAAUGGUUUUGAAACACGUAAAAGGCUAGACCAAAUUUUAAACGGCGAGAAUAACUACGCUUUAGCUGCAUAAUCUGAAUUAUAGUAAGAUUGGCCUAGGUACACAAGGUGUACAAGCUAAAUGUCUCCAGAAAGCCUUGGUUAGUGGCGUUCUCCCGAUAACUAUCGGGAUUAGAGGCAUCGUAAAAAUUGACCAAGAUUUGGCAGCGCUUUGAUGCCAUUUCGAGAUUAAAAAGCUAAGUUGUAAGUAGGUGGUCUUUUGCCAGCUUGCAAUCGAAAAAUCAAGUUUAGACUAAACGUGUAGAAAGCCCUUUGGUUACUUGUUUGGACGAGGGUUCGAAUCCCUCCGACUCCACAG
rnacentral:tmRNA from 1 species